AAAAGAUGUAGUGAUGGCCUGGGAUGUCUAAUAACAAGGAAACAUUACUGGAGUGGCUACAUAUCAAGCUCAAAACAGAGAGGUCUCCUUUGCUGAAUUUGAAAAUUGUACAUGAGACGAAAUAAACAAGUUUGGGAACAAAAGAUGGAACCGCCUUUGGAGGAAGUAACAUCAGAGAGCAAAGAGGCGAAUAGCAUAAUAUAUCACAAUAUCCUCUGGCAAUUUGGAAACAACAAAAGAGAUUUCGUUGGACUCAGAAGUUGUUGGGGAGGAUGACUUCAGUUUCAGAGAGCACAUUGAUUAAUGACGAGCUGCGCCGGCGACAGCCAGGCCUCCCCAACAUUAUGGACCGUAUGAAGCACAAGCUAUACCAGAGGGUGGAGAACAUGAGCAAACCAGCUGAGGAGGUGGUCAAGAUGUUCCCCUUUCUGAAAGUGUAAAAACUUAUGCAUCAUGAAAUGAGGUUGCGUUUUGGUCAGGACUUGGAGCUAAGCCUUUAACAUGCCCUUAGUGUGAUGACACCCAACAUUAUAAGAGUCGCUCAAAGAGGGAGUCAGAGGUGGCUGCUGUCAAGCCUGCAGGGAACAGAGGAUAACACAGACGAUUUACAAAGAAGUGCUACUUUACUUAUUCAAGGAGACCUCCAAGUUUCUGCACUGCUUAGAUGAGGUAUGUGUUUGCAGCCAUUCUGGGAACUGUGGUGGCUUUAAACAAACCAGACUAAUUCUUGAUUAUGCUUUUUAUACAUACACCAGCUUGCCAAAAGGAGAAGAGAAUUGCCACCUGUAGUUCAGUCAGUAUUAUUUUACUCUGGAAGUUGAGCGCACCCUCCG